UACGGAGGGUGCGAGCGUUGUUCGGAAUCACUGGGCGUAAAGGGCGUGUAGGCGGUCCGCUAAGUCUGAUGUGAAAGCCCGGGGCUCACCCCCGGAAGGGCAUUGGAAACUGGCGGACUCGAGUCUCGGAGAGGAAGGUGGAAUUCCUGGUGUAGCGGUGAAAUGCGUAGAUAUCAGGAGGAAUACCGGUGGCGAAGGCGGCCUUCUGGACGAUGACUGACGCUGAGACGCGAAAGCGUGGGGAGCAAACAGG
rnacentral:rRNA from 1 species